rnacentral:rRNA from 1 species
ACCGGUGCCGCCACACUCACGGGGUUACAUCUAAGUUCUGCGAACUCCUCUCGUAGAGAGAGAGAGACUAGCACUUCGUCGGGGUUAGGAUCGGGAAGAAACCGGUACCGCUGACUCGUCCGUCCUCUAAAGGACAACUACUGUCUCCUUGUUCCUACUGUCAGUAAGUCAUGAACUUCCUGUAUAUGUUGACGUUAGACGCAUAAAAUAAGUUGAUGUACUAACUGGUUGUGAGCAAAGAUACCGUACCGUCGUCGAAAACCAAGACCGCGAGAUAAGAGGUAACAACCGUCUUUAAGAGUUUCUGUUUCUGUGUGUUACUUCUAUACUUGAUAAGACUUUAUACAACUUGGUUAAUCCUGAAGUUUUGAUACUUUUCUUAAAGUUCUUCCCAGAAGACUGACUACUUUGUAACGGAAAAUAGUUACUUUCCAUGUACAAAAAUUAUAAGGUAACUCAAGGACGUUAAUGUCUUUUCUUAGUUAGAAAAGAUAUUGUUUUACCGACAUACGAAUGACUUUAAAUGGUAAGUUUUCAUGUAUACAGAACGUAAUAGGAGGUCACGUGAGUCUCAAUACUUAUAGCGGGAACAAGGUUCCGAACAGUAUGAACUAGUGUAAUUUUCUAAACCUUAAUAACGUAUUUAAAGGUCAAAGACCACGUAAUCAAAGGAAAUAGAUUAUAGGAAAAAACGUUAAAACGUUUCUUGGACCCAACUAUUUUAGUUUAACUUCACUAACAAACAGACAACCGUGGUCAAAAAGAGUUCAAUGUAUUUGAUACAAGACCCUUCAGCCAGGUAAGAUCGAGAAUUUAAAACAUCUACAGAGAAUCAAACUACAAUACGUGUAUAACAAGCUACAGCGAACACAAGUCCCAAAGAUAACCCGUGUAUUUUUAUUUCCUACUGCGUACUGUGUAAAAUCCACAUGUAAAUAAAGUAUCUAACUUUCUGUCGCCAACAAAAUCUACCUCUACAUAGCCACUACGCUAGAGGGACCAAACGACGUAGAUAUCAAUCUCUCAUCAGACACGGAGAAGUAGCCCGUAGGAGACCUCGAAGGGGCUCCACUGUUCACGAAGGGUGCCACAGAGAGAGACAAGAAUAACGAUGACGUGUGUUCGAUGACUGGAACGUCUGGUCCUGUAUGUAGGACCACUCGAGGAACCAGGAACUGACCAGGUAGUGGCUCCAUACAUAAGUGGUGACUGAAGAGAGUCUAGUAUACGUACGAGGAAUAUUAGAUCCCUAAUAUCAAGAAGUUUUAUUGACAUAAUAGCCCGGCACUCCCUGGCGACAACGAUAUCAGAAACGUAUCUCGAUCUCUUUUGUAUACUCAAGCUGUUGAACGCAACUCCCUUUGACUACGUUCGCUUCACAUAUAUGCAGUGGUCUUUAAAGGUUUCGUAGCCUACAAGACUCUAACUAGUCUAGUUAAGUUGAUUUGUGUACGAGGGAUUCGGCGCCUUGAGCGCUCACUGUUCCUUUGUCAACGACGGUGGAGCGAGGUCUAGCUCGUCGUCCAGACUCGGUGCCACCGCUCUCGCCGGGCUACACGUCCAAGUUCGACGCACUUCUCCCUCCCCCACGAGCGAUACCGAGACUGGUACCUCGGUUGGGGUACCUGUUCCUUCGAUCACUUAAUCCAUUCUUCCGGUUCCUUAACUUCUUCCGUAGCCUUCGGGAAGUGGUUCUUCUCUCUUCACCCUUGUUUCCGUCUUUUACCGCGUUUUUGUACUUCCGACAGCUCUUCCGACUCCGAUGGACCCGAAAAUGUAACGAACUAAUGUAACCUUUUGAGUAUAAGCCGUAACAACCUAAUUAACAUAGCUAACGAACCCAUCGUGUAUAAUAGUAUAUUAACAUAGAAGAAAGGGCUUACUCUAGAAGUAUUUCUACCUGUCACAAACCCCAGACGAACCCUGACGACGAAAACGUAAGAAGACGAUAGAGGAGUAGCGUCACUAACGACCUCUUUACUACGAACCGGACUUUAAUCAAAAGUAGUCGUAAGUGGGUUAUACCCCUCCUUGCAACUACUUGAGAAAAAACAAAUUACAACCUGACUAGGAUGAAACAAGGUAGUCACACUAAGUCAAGACGCUCUGUCGAAAACGCAUGAUACGUGUUCGUUGACGUCGAGUCCUCUAAAAACCGGUGUGCGACGUCAGAGAAGUACCUUAAUUAAUUCAUAGAGAUGUUCAUUCAGAACUUGGUCGUACGUCAGUCAUCUUGAUAGUUGGACUUCAACAACGAACUUGGUAGUACCCAUAGUAACAACCGAUGACCAUGAACCCAAUAGGAAAGACGCUUCUAUUAUUAAACUUUUAUUGACGGUAAAAGAGAAUUGGUGAGAAAUAAUAAACCACGUCUAAUACACUAAUAAUUACAUCUGGGUACGAUGAACAAAUAAAAAAGCUCACUACCAACGAAUUGGCUUUACAGAGUCGAGAACACUUGUACGAUUGUACAAUGGAGAGAAGGGGUCUACCACGUUCAUGUUUUCCACGUCUUCUAACAUACGGACUCACUACGAACGAAUUGGUUUGAAUUAAAGAAUGAUUCUACCUAAUUCGGAUUCACCUCCAUCGUCCUAACUACACACGUUCGAUCUUCGAUUUUAAACUUGACUCUAUACAAUAAUAAGUACGAACGUGAAAGAGUCUAUAAAAUCAAAUAUCCUUCUUAUUAUCGUCUUGGUAAAGAACAACGGUGUGUAACUUCCUUGGUUGGCCUUUAUUGUGAGCACCAUGUUUGUUCUUUCACCUUCCCCGCCCAGGGAGGGACCGUUGCGGGGUUGAAGGAGAGUCCUCCGCGCGGUACCCGCGCGGGGUUG